rnacentral:rRNA from 1 species
GAACGAACGCUGGCGGCGUGGAUAAGACAUGCAAGUCGAGCGCUGAUUACAGGGUAGCAAUAUUUCUGUGGUCGGAGCAGCGCAAGGGGUGCGUAACACGUGGGUAAUCUGGCCGUGAAGUUUGGGAUAACUUGCUGAAAGGCGAGCUAAUACCGGAUGUGAAAAUUAGGAGGCAUCUUCCGAUUUUCAAAGCUGGGACCG